AUUGAACGCUGGCGGCAGGCUUAACACAUGCAAGUCGAGCGAGCGGCGGACGGGUGAGUAAUGUCUGGGAACCUGCCUGAUGGAGGGGGAUAACUACUGGAAACGGUAGCUAAUACCGCAUACCAUCAGAUGUGCCCAGAUGGGAUUAGCUAGUAGGUGGGGUAAUGGCUCACCUAGGCGACGAUCCCUAGCUGGUCUGAGAGGAUGACCAGCCACACUGGAACUGAGACACGGUCCAGACUCCUACGGGAGGCAGCAGUGGGGAAUAUUGGACAAUGGGCGCAACCCUGAUGCAGCCAUGCCGCGUGUGUGAAGAAGGCCUUCGGGUUGUAAAGUACUUUUGGCGAGGAGGCGUUACCCGCAGAAGAAGCACCGGCUAACUCCGUGCCAGCAGCCGCGGUAAUUC
rnacentral:rRNA from 1 species